UGAAUACAAUUUUUUAAAGAUUAAGGAUAAUACUUUCAAUAGGUAACUAUCCUCUAAAGAGAAUAGAUAAUGGCCACUAUUAUUAAUAGAUUUAGAGCUCUCAGGGACUACAGAGUUCACUGAAUCCAGUCCCCUCAUUUUACAGAUGAGGAAACUGACUCACAGUGAGAUUAAUUAAUUUAACCAGGGAGGACAGGCAGCUAGAAAUGUCUAAGGCAAGAUUUGAAUCCAGGUCUUCUUGACUCCUUGUUUAGCACUUUACUGACUAUACUAUGCUGCUUCAUCUAUUAUUUUUUCAUUCUUUUUCUUUUUUUUUUUUCAGGAGAGGGCUAUAACAGCAUAAUUUCAUUCCCCUUAUUACAUAUGAUUUCAUCAGUAUGGAGAAUUCUGGUUGUGGAAAUUCCCUUACCUAUCAAUGUAGAAAAGCAACUGAUUUGUAAUUUAGAGUUAAAAUAUUGUCUGGAUCAGCAAGAGGUUGUGCCUUGACCAUUGUUACAUGGAUCAUAUGUGUCAAAAUCUUGACUGGAAAUAAGUUGGUUUGUUUUUUAAUCCCAAAUGUGGCCCCUGGCUCCUCAACUCUGAUUCCACAUUCCAGAAACUAGACCAAGUGAAGCCUUCCCUGACAAUUAAGACAGGAUACAAGCAGAAUUUUAAAAAAGAAAGGAAGGAAGGAAGGAAGGAAGGAAGGAAGGAAGGAAGGAAGGAAGGAAGGAAGGAAGGAAGGAAGGAAGGAAGGAAGGAAGGAAGGAAGGAAGGAAGGAAGGAAGGAAGGAAGGAAGGAAGGAAGGAAGGAGGAAGGAGGGAGGGAGGGAGGAAGGAAGGAAGGAAGGAAGGAAGGAAGGAAGUAAGGAAGGAAGGAAGGAAGGAAGGAAGGAAAGAAAGAAAGAAAGAAAGAAAGAAAGAAAGAAAGAAAGAAAGAAAGAAAGAAAGAAAGAAAGAGAAAAAAGAAGGAAGGAAGGAAAAAGAAAGAAAGAAAAGAAGGAAGGAAGGAAGAAGAAAGAAAGAAAGAAAGAAAGGAAGGAAGGAAGGAAGGAAGGAAGGAAGGAAGGAAGGAAGGAAGGAAGGAAGGAAGGAAGGAAGAAAGAAAGAAAGAAAGAAAGAAAGAAAGAAAGAAAGAAAGAAAGAAAGAAAGAAAGAAAGAAAGAAAGAAAGAAAGAAAGAAAGAAAGAAAGAAUCCCAAUCACCCUCUGCCCUCUGCUUUAGGGUCUCAGAAUUCUCUAGGA
rnacentral:lncRNA from 1 species